CCGCUUUUAGAAAAUAAAAAGUUUCACAGAGAAAACCGCUUAUGAGGACAAAUAAAUUGCAAUUUGAAACCAUUAUGUCAAUUUCGUGUCUCUUAGCUUCAACUGCAAUUUGCUACAGUGAAUUCGUGCCAUUGAAAAUCGUAAUGCCUGUUUAUUCAUAUUCUGUUUGUAAUAACACUGCAAACGUACUACACAAAAAUAAGAAUAAGAACUUUCUUAAAAUAGCUAAAAAGCUGAAAAUAUACUAUGUACAAUCUAAUUAGUAAAAAAUCAGUGUACCAAAAAAAUAACACACCGGAAAAUCACUCGGAUAUUUUAAACCUGUAUUGUCUUAAUAAAAACGGACUCAGAACCUUCAACUUUAGAACAAAAAAAAAGUACAACUAACAAAACAUUUACACUUACUUAAAAUCACUCAGAUAUUUAAAACCUUUAUUGAAUUUUUUAAACUACAUGUAACUAUUUUUAUUGGCUUUCUUAAAGUACUCAUUAUUGUUAGAUUGUCACGCUACUAGGCAGAAAAACAUAACAAUUCAUUCUAAAUUCACAAAAUAUAAUUAUAAAAAUUAACCUGUAUUGUCUUUAAAAAAACGGACUCGAAUCUUUCAACUUUAGAACCAAAAAAAGUACAACUAGCGAAACAUUUACACUUACUUUAAAAUCAUUCACAUAUUUAAAACCUUUAUUGAAUUUUAUUAAGUACAUGUAACUAUUUUUAUUGGCUUUUUAAAAGUACUCAUUAUUAUUAGAUUGUCACACUACUAGAGGAAAAAAAAUAACAAUUCAUACUAAAAUACUAAAUUUACAUUAAAAGUAAAUAAUACGAUUAACAAUACCCGAUAUUUACCAUUUUAAACGUUGCACGCGAUGGGACAACUAGUUUUUAUAAGAUGGAAAUAAGAUUAAAACAAUUUUCUUUCCUUUCUUUUCCCUCCAAAUCCCUUCAACCAAAAAUGGCUUAAUUCUCAAAUUUAAAACAUCACAAUCAAACAAUUCAUAAGAUUUUGAGUGCGACGUUAACAUCUUACGGAGUUAUUUGUUGCCUGCUACUGCAGUUCCUGAACAUGGCUUUGAUUUUCUGCACUUCGAGGAUUGCAGCAAUUACACCAACACAUAUUUCCGGUUCAAAGCCUUCAGAUUACGAACUUAAACCUAGAAUUGUCCGCCCAUUACAGGUAAGGUGUAAGGGGAAAUCAGAACUGGAAACAUCCAAGCAACUCUGUUUUAGUCGAAGAGAUGCGAUGAUUUGUUUGACCACUUUGUCAGCAAGUGGGAUUGGACUAUCAUAAUCACCUGAAAUUGCUGAAGCACGCAUUACAAAGAAAGAAAUGCGUCGGAAAAUCAAAGAAAAGCUUGAAAUGUUGAGAGAAAAGGCUGGCCUUUCAAAGCAAAAAGAUAACAAGGAAACACCACCCUCCACAGAGGAUAUUCUUCCACUAGUUCCAUCUCCUUUUCCACUCCCAAAUCCUCCCAUGGGAUUGAAUAAAUCGCUAGUAGAAACAACUUUGCUAUAAUUACUAUUUGAAAUUGAAUUGUAAAAUUUCAUUUUCAAAUAUGCAUGCCUUUUGCUAGUUUAGCAGGCUUCUUCAGCUAUUGACUAGAGUUUCCCUUUAUGGGUACUGAUGGUUACUUGGUUAGUUCCCUUCUGUAGUGACAAUCUAAGUCGCUAAAAUCUUUAGUUCUUUACAUAAAAAUCCCAUUGCAAAAUUAGGGAACUUUCUGUGUAAAUAUGGACCUUUAGAAUGUCCCUUUAUGGGAACUGAUGGUUAGUUCCCUUCUGUAGUGACAGCUUUAAUGUACCGGUUUAACCUCAA